CCCCCGCUUGCCGCGCGCGUCCCGGAGAGUCCCGCGGCCGGCGCCGGUGAUGUCAUUGUUUGUGGGAAUCUGCGGGCUCGGGAAAGGGAAUUACGGUGGAGCCGCUCUCGGAGGCCCCCGGGGAGCCGGGCCAGGCCUCUCCCAUUCCUCCUCCUGGCUGCAAACCUCUCGCUCUCUCUUCCUCAUUCGUGGCAAUAACAAAGCAGUAUUAACCCUCCUCCUGCCACUUUACCGAGCCCCAGGGAAGAUUGCUUUGCUCCCCUUCUGGCCCGGGAGGCUUGGGAAAGCCACCCAUUGAGGGCGACUCCCGGGGGCUAGGUGCAGGAACCACUUUUAAAAAAAGGCUCCACGCAGGUCAGGAACUGAACAGCUGGAAAGCCAGCUAGGGUCCAGCCUCGUCCCCAUCAGCUACCGCGACGCGUUCGGAGGAGGAGGCGCAGUUCCAGACGCGGGGACACGGGGCUGCGUGGGGACAGCCAGGGCGCAAGUGUGGGGAGGGGUCGCUCCCGGUGCCGGCGUGGGGGUCACGACUCGGGAACGGCCUCACGGGGGGCGCGUCCCCGCCGAAGGGCAGGGUGUCAGCUAAGUCAGCGGGUUCCGAGAGGAGUACUCCUACGUGACUGCGUGCUGCUGACCACUCACUGCUCCUUUUGCCCAAGUGGAAGAGCCAGCCGAGCUCUGCUGCAGAGAAAUGAGCGAUUGUUUUGGAGAAACUUAAAUAUUGUUGAGCUGCAGAGUGUUUACACUGGCCUGGCUCCUCAGGUAGUACCAAAGCAAAAUCCUGGCUUAGUUGGAUGAGAGAUCCCUCUCCCUCCUCUGCUCUAUGUUGGGCCUGGAGAUUGACUUUUAUUCACUAUAUUGGUGAUGCUUGUUUUAUGGCUUCCCUUAAAUUCAGGCAUCAGGGCGCUAUUUAAAACAGAACUGGAGAGCAGAGCAAGAGGAUCAGCUGACGGGAAAGAAUUCUUUUACACUUCUCUGGAAAUUACUUUAUACUAAAGGCGUUGUCCACAAGAGCGAAACGUUCCAGGCUAAAGGAAGGGAAGCACAUCAUUUGUCUUCUAGCUAUUACAUGAUUGAUAUCAGCAUCGCUGCCACGGCAACUGAGCUGAACGCAUCGUCAGGCAAAACAAUUUAACACGAAGGGAGGCACAAACGUGAGAACUUGGAGAAGCCAUUUCUAAAUACAAGGCCAGGGUACAAAUAACUCUUCUAAGUCCACAAGACGGGCAGACUCUAAAUUUCUAUAUGUAAUUUUUCUCAACCAAUUUGCCUGUCAACAGGAUGUUUGUGCCUUGCCACAGGCCUAAGAGCAAUGGAGUCAGCUGACCACGGAUUGAAACUUCUUAAACUCAAACUGAGGCCCAGUGACAUGAAGGAAUGUGAACUGCUCAGAGACUGAGCCUGAUGAAUUUGCCCUGCCUCCUACCCAUUCUCCGUUACCUGAAGCUGUCUUUCUGGCUGGAAGAUUCAGAUACAGACAUGCUGGGAUGGUGAGAUGAACAUCUCUGUCCCUCUCAACCUGACUUUGGAGUUAACAACCUGACACAGAUCCCUUUCUCACCUAGAAGAGUUCGUGAAUGUCGCUGAACCGGAAGGAGCUGGCCCUCAGGCAUUCCAACUUCUCUGAAAAAGACAAGAAAAACUGUUAUUGAAGAAAUGCUUCUUUUUGCUCUUCACUUUCCCCCUGCACCCUAGUGCACCUCUUUCUCACAGAGUUUUCUUUACUGCACUUCUUUCAAAGGGAAUGUUAAUGCUUUCGCAAAUCAACCAUCCAUUGUUCCAUAGUUACCUUUGCGAAUCAUCCAUGUGCCCCCCACAAGCCUCCCUGGAGACCUGGAAUCAGAAUAUUCAGUGGGAGAGCGGCAGACGGAUGCUACUCCACAUCCUUCCAUUGGUACCAUCUGGACAACAGCAUCCUGACCGAGACUUCUUGUUACAAGGAUGAGCAUGGAAGACAGUUCCUCGAAGGGAGAGGUUGCGUGCUGGCUCUGGGCAAGAGGGAGACAGUAGUUCCAGGAGACAGAUUGUGACUUCUUUUUUCCCUCUUCUUUUGAGUUUGAUGGCAAUAAAGCAUAUAACAUGGGAUCACCCAGCCUGAUCAUGGUCUCAGGUUGCUAAAUAAUCUCCAGGAUUUAUGAAGGAGGCACACAUGUCCAAUGAAGAGGGGUCACUGAGCAAAGAAGGCAAUCACUCAUGGUAACUGAAUUCUACCUCUAUCUGUAAUCAUGGAAGCAUUGCAGAGGAGGUGUGAUGGGUGAUACACUGUAUCAACUUGAGUUUAGAGGUUUAACCAAGGGACUCAGCUGGGAGCCAGGGUCCUUACUUUGUAAACAGCCUCAUCCUGUGCAAGAAGAGGGCACAGAGACUGAGUGCUACACACCCACCCUGACGGGAGAGGUGGCCUGUGUACAGUAUAAAGGAGGAGGGGUUUGGUUUUGUUGCUUUUUCUGUCUUCUGCUGCCUUGAACUGUUGCCCCUGUCUCCUGCCACCCUGCCUUGGAGCCAGCUGAUUAUGGACUGAAACCUCCACAAACUGUGAGCCAAAUAAACCUUUCCUUCCUUCAUUUUAGGUGUCAGGUAUUUUGUCCCAGCAACAAUAGAAAAGUAACCAAGAUAGCAGAAGAGGGUAAACGAAAGAGAAGGGCUUAAACGAGUCUGCCAUCUGAGGCUUCUGGUUUCCUGCUUUGUUGGCCGACACUGAGAGGCAGAAAGGAGACCUGGUUGCUUUGAAGGUGUGCAUCCUUCAGUUACAGUUUAAAUCAAGGUUAAGUGCUUUUUAAAUUUUAUUUUAUUUUUUAUUUUUUGGUCUUUUUGAGACAGGGUCUCGCUAUGCAGUUCAGGCUGGUCCUCAAUUCACUUUGUAUCCCAGGCUGGUUUCAAACUCACAGCAAUCCUUCUGCUUCAAGCCUGGCUUUUUUUUUAAGAACAGAUUUUUUUCUAUACCAUGUUUUGUAACCACUUAUUUCUUCAACUAUGGAAACUGCUUCCUGUUGUGGGGAAGAAUUCUCAUGGUAAAGUUUGAAGACUUAGGAAAGUCAUUCUUACCCUCCUUUCCCCUGGGCAAUUCCCAUCCCACCCAACUCCCACCCCACCCUGCCUCUGCUGUUUCCUGUGGGUGUGUGGUCUGUGAUAGGAUUUUUACACUUGGAAGGGAACCAGCUGACAGGAUUUUGGCGCGGCUGGAACGAUAAGUAUGAAACUAAAAUGGACCUUUAUUUUAAGAAUGUGGGGAGAGACCCCCUGACCCUCUGGGGUCUGGCAUUCUCUCCAACAGACACGUGGUGUGGGGGCAUACAUGUAGCUUAGGUUUGGGGUGGUGCCUAAGGGGCAUUAGUGAUGCAUAUGUAGCCCAUUGGUAUUUAUUUUGCACCACAGGUAAAUUCCUAGCAGUGGGGACUAUAGAGCCCCUUGGUUCCACCUCCAAGGCUUUACCUGCUACAGUGUCUGGGGCAAAAACCUUUCAGUCUGGGCCACAAGAGCGCUCCUAUUAGGUGCCGUGGAGCGAAAGGGAAAUCUUAGCUAUGCCUUCAGAGGGGGCCACGCCCAAGAUCUGGGGUUGAUUGACAAGUGGGAAAAUAUUUUAGCCUAAGUAGCAUGCUGGGAUUUGGGGCAGAGUAGAAAGUGAUAUGUGGGUAAGUGCAAAAUGAAAUCAAUACUCAUAUUUUUUCAUUGUUUUAUUUUUUUAAUGAGACAAAGUUUUGCUAAGUUCCCAGGCUGGCCUUGAACUUGCAGUCCUCCAGCCUCAGUCUCGCAAGUAGGUGGGAUUGCAGGUAUAAACCACCACACCCAUCUAUUGCUUUUUACAUUUGUAGUUGGUCAACAAGUGACCCUAGAAUUAAAUGGAGACCCCCUACUUUUCCCAGUGGAACACCAGAAAAAUGCAAUAGGGGAAUAAUGGAGUUGGAGUUUAUUUUUCAUGGUAGCAGAGGAGCCCUUUGUAUGCAACUGUUUAAGUCUUUUGGGCACCUUGUGGUCAGAAUUAUUCUUUUAUGUUAGAAAACGGGAAAUUUAUGAGCCAUCCUUAUUUUGAAUUUCUGUUAAAGGUUGAUUGUAGUAGGCUUUUUGGAGGUGACAAUUAACCGUCCAGAAAACCUAGUUAUGUAUUUUGUUUUCCAUUCACAACUAUAUGUAUUGGUGUUUAUUAGUCACUUUAUUGGUGAGAAAACCGAGGCUCAAGGAACUUUCCAGCAUUAGACUGGGACUUACAACGAAGCUGGCAAGUCUACAGACUCUUACGUUCUGUUUUACCUUCAUGCUUUAGUUUCUGUAGGGUGUGACCAGCAAUAUUGAAGUGGGAGAAGAAAUGGAUGAGACUUACUACACCCAUCAAGUCAGUUCAUGGACCAAAAGUCAGUCUUGUUGACAGGUGUUUGUUUAUACAGGUGUUUGCUCUGUGGAAAAAGAAGAAUUGAUUCUUGUUUUGUUCCUGACUCUGCCUGAAUGCACAGGUGGAGAAUGUGGAAUGUUGGUGGAAUAUUCUUAGAGACACACUUAUUCAUUGAUUAUUUAUUUGAGAGUAAACAUGGCACAUUCUUACUUUCCAGAGGUCACUGCUUUAAUCUGGACUAAGUUGUCUCUUUUUUGGAGGAGGUUUUAGCAGAGUGGUAUGCGCGUGAGUGUAUGCAUGCAUGUGUGCACGUGUGCAAAUGCACAUGCAAUACUCUCCCUGAGACCUCGUGUGUCUAUGAAUACUGUUAUUUUGUCUUCGCAAUUAAACUGUAACUUUGCUGGAUAGAAAUUUCUAGUUUGUACAUCUCAAGAUGUUAUUUUAUGUUCUUACUAGAUCUUUAAGCAAGAAUUUUUGUGAUACAAAAACUGGUGCACAUAUUUGCUGAGUUAUUUUCAAAAUAGCUGCAGGAAAUCAGUUGGCUGUACAAUUGGGGAAGACACCAGCAGUAUGACUUCCCAAACAGCCUUCAGCAGACUAAGAUAUUUUCACAUUUUGAUAUUAUUUUCCUUUCUGUUCUCUUAAAAAAGGAUUGAACUUACAUUACCUAUGAGAAUACUAUUUGGAGAGCUGAUAUGCUUACAACUGAACAGAUCAUUAAAAUAGAAUAAGUAAUACAUGGCUCUGAAGCAUGGAGUAGAAACUCCUGAAAUUUAACCUACCUACUGAUUUUUGUAAUUAUAAUCAAGUACUUCUGAAAUACCACUAGACAAAGUAGUCCUCAACUACGUUAUUUUGGGAGAUGCUUUAUAAUUUCAGUAGAUUCUGCUACAAUUAGCUUCACAAAUACCUGUUAGUUCAAUUAUGUAUCAGUGCACCUGCAAAUUUCUAUGCAAUUGACUAAUUGAUGUAGCUUGUGUUGUUGAAGAAAUAUUUUCUUGAUUUGGAGAUCUAGGAAAGUAAUGCAAAUUUAAGUGCUACCUUAUUUAUCCCUUUGUUUGUAAGAAGAAACAUAUUGGAUCCCUGAACCCAAGUCAUGAUUUAUAUAAUAAAAGUGUUAUCAGUUUAAA